UACGAAGGGGGCUAGCGUUGCUCGGAAUCACUGGGCGUAAAGGGUGCGUAGGCGGGUCUUUAAGUCAGGGGUGAAUCCUGGAGCUCAACUCCAGAACUGCCUUUGAUACUGAGGAUCUUGAGUUCGGGAGAGGUGAGUGGAACUGCGAGUGUAGAGGUGAAAAUUCGUAGAUAUUCGCAAGAACACCAGUGGCGAAGGCGCUCACUGGCCCGAUACUGACGCUGAUGAGCGAAAGCCAGGGGAGCAAAGCGGG
rnacentral:rRNA from 1 species